rnacentral:rRNA from 1 species
CCCUUAGAUGUCCUGGGCCGCACGCGCGCUACACUGAGUGUCUGAGAUACGAGUCUGCCUGGUCCGGCAAGGUCUAGGUAAUCGCUAAAAGACACAUCAUGCUUGGGAUAGAUUAUUGCAAAUAUUAAUCUUGGACGAGGAAUUCCUAGUAAGCGCAAGUCAACAGCUUGCGUUGAUUACGUCCCUGCCCUUUGUACACACCGCCCGUCGCUACUACUGAUUGGAUGUUUAAGCGAGGUUCUCGAACUGCUAGCGACUUAGCUUCGGUGAGGUCGCAGUGUGGGAAGUGAACCUAGCUUUGGUGUCUAGAGGAAGUAAAAGUCGUAACA